AUUCUUCCAGUAAAGUUGACAGCACUGUUCUCCGAAAAAUUAAUGGAACAGCCACGAGCCCAUGAGUAUGGAUAUAAAUUUUAUCCCUCAACCUACAUUGGAAUCUAAAUAUUUUUCCUUGUCUGGUUCAAGAACAGCCUAUGCAAGUCUAUUAUGAACUAUAAAAAAAUGAGUGCAUUUGUAAUCUGUGAUCAAUGUCCUGUUUGCAAGAGAAAUUUCAAGAGUUCAGAAAGUAACAGACAAAUAGAACAAAAUCAA